GGCUCAGGACGAACGCUGGCGGCGUGCUUAACACAUGCAAGUCGAACGGUGAAGUCCCAGCUUGCUGGGAUGGAUCAGUGGCGAACGGGUGAGUAACACGUGAGCAACCUGCCCUCCACUUCGGGAUAAGCCUUGGAAACGGGGUCUAAUACCGGAUAUGAGCCUGCAUCGCAUGGUGUGGGUUGGAAAGUUUUUCGGUGGGGGAUGGGCUCGCGGCCUAUCAGCUUGUUGGUGGGGUGAUGGCCUACCAAGGCGUCGACGGGUAGCCGGCCUGAGAGGGCGACCGGCCACACUGGGACUGAGACACGGCCCAGACUCCUACGGGAGGCAGCAGUGGGGAAUAUUGCACAAUGGGCGCAAGCCUGAUGCAGCGACGCCGCGUGAGGGAUGACGGCCUUCGGGUUGUAAACCUCUUUCAGCAGGGAAGAAGCGCAAGUGACGGUACCUGCAGAAGAAGCGCCGGCUAACUACGUGCCAGCAGCCGCGGUAAUACGUAGGGCGCAAGCGUUGUCCGGAAUUAUUGGGCGUAAAGAGCUCGUAGGCGGUCUGUCGCGUCUGGUGUGAAAUCCCGAGGCUCAACCUCGGGCUUGCAUCGGGUACGGGCAGACUAGAGUGCGGUAGGGGAGACUGGAAUUCCUGGUGUAGCGGUGGAAUGCGCAGAUAUCAGGAGGAACACCGAUGGCGAAGGCAGGUCUCUGGGCCGCAACUGACGCUGAGGAGCGAAAGCAUGGGGAGCGAACAGGAUUAGAUACCCUGGUAGUCCAUGCCGUAAACGUUGGGCACUAGGUGUGGGGCUCAUUCCACGAGUUCCGUGCCGCAGUCUAACGCAUUAAG
rnacentral:rRNA from 1 species